UCUCUGCAGACUCGCAGGCGGCACUGAGACGGGAAGAAGCAUUUCUUCUGAAUUUAUUUCCCUCCUAACAUUUUCCACAUGUCACACAGAUAAACUUGUAAAGCUGUGAAUAAUUACUGAAACUGUGAGCACAGUCAACUACUCCUGUCAUGGAUUGUACCGCCUAUCUCGGCCGCUGCCUGCUGUUUUUCAUCAUCGCCAUCCUCCUGGAUGCAGCAGGCCUCAUCCUCUUCUUCAUUGGGGUCUUUGCUCCUCUCAGCUUCUGGGAUGUCUUUGUCUUCUCCGGAUCCCUCAUUAUCUUCCUCAGCCUGGUGUUCUGGAUCUUCUGGUACCUGGGAAACCUGGAGUUGCCGAUGGAGGAGCUGCUCCCCAAAUGAGAUUUAUGGCUUCUUCAUUUGCAGCACAAAACAGUUGUCUGGCAACUGGUGCUGGAAAAUGAAUCCCAAGCUACAGCAACAGGGUGAAAAGGUUCCACCCCAUCUCACUGGUAGCUGUUUGUAUAUUUGCCUCACCACCCAAAGAAACAUGGGACUUUACUCUCAAAGGACAAAUAUGGAACUCUAACCUGAAAGGUGACACCUCAGACUCAGGGACAGGUUGAGAAACUUUUGAAUGGUGGGUCUAGACUGUUGGACAUUUGUGAAACUAGUAAAAGUUUCACAUUGGUUUAACAACAAACUGUACAUUAAUAAUAGUUACACUGUUCUUUCAUUAUUCAGUGCAAUAAAUGAAUGCCAAAUAAACAACUUUAAAUAACAAGAAAUAGCUGCCAUUUCUAAGUUGCCACAGCCUUUUUAUGGUCAUGUUGUACCUCUUUGUAGUUGUUUUGAAUCUCUUUGUAGACUAGAGCUUCUCCUUGUAGUUGUUAAUGUUAAUGUUUUUGUCAUUUUUGUAGCCUCACACAUCUUUUUUUUUAUGUGUCUCUUUGUAGUUGUUAUGUCUGUUUUUAGUUGUUUUGUGUUUCUUUGUAGUCAUAGUACAUUUAUUUGAAGUCGUUUGGAAUCUCUUUGUAGUCUAGAGCAUCUCUUUUUGCUGUUAUGUGUCUCUUUGUAGGUUUUUACUUCUUUGUAGUCAUGUGAUUGACUGUCCAACAAGAAAGGGGUUGGUUGAUCAGAUUAGAGGGAGGCAACCAUUACAUCCCUAUUGCCUCACCUCUGCUCAGACUGUACGCUGUAAAUUCUGUGUUUAAUAGCAUACAUUUUGUUUAUUUCAUUUCAGAUCAUGUGGAUUUUGGACAUUCUUAUGAUGUCUCACUCUAACCUUAAAAUCAGGACCAAAAACUCUGUCCUCCAGUUGCACAACUUCCUCUCUUUUUUGAUGACACCAUUUAUCAUCUAUUUACACCCUUUCUUUUUUAUCAAUUUCUUCCUAAGGCCAUUGUUCCUGACCGGUCUCUGUGGUGAUUUUCCUGUUGUGAAAUCUGAGUAUUGGUCAUUCAAUCCAUUCAACAGAAACCAGUCAAACUGGGUCCAUUAGCUGGGGCAGGAAGAGCUCUCAUUUUACAAGAAUGAGUUUCUGUACAAGGAGGAGGGGGGAUUUUCUUUCCCCUGUUUAUAAAAUAUUAUAAUGACAAAAAAAUAUGGUGGAAAUGAGCUUUUGGAAGCUAUUUGCACAGAUUUGUGAUGUGUACUCUUGUAUAAUCUUUUUCCUCAAGUAUGUGGCACAACUUGUUUCUCUGUUACUUAGACACACCCUAUUUACAGUGGGGCUGAUAUUUAAGCUCAACACAAGACAGAAUAAUCCUCAGGCUUAGCAACAGUAGCCACAAGAAUAGAGCUUCAACAACAAGACAAACAAAGAGACAAAGGAGAAAACAAAGGAUUCUAACCAUUUUCUAAAGAAAGUUACACUUGUAAUUGUUUAUUGUCUUUACAUAUACACGUGAUUUAUUUGAUAUGAUAUGUUUGAUUUAAGAGAAUAAUAGAGAUUUCAAAAAGUAGUUACUGUUAAUUGCAUUUUAAAACUCUUUGCAUAACCCAUGUUUACUCUUCACAGCCUCUUUCUAAAAGCUGCAGUGUUUUUCAAGGUGUGGGCCCACGCAGCUAUUUAGCCUUGCACAAGGGGAAUAUAAGGGAAAAUGUGUCAGCCAACCAUUACUAAUUCAUAACUGCACCCUAACGGCUCAAACAGCUCCAUAAGAAUUACUUUGAGCUGGUCGACAGGUGAUUCUUAUGUGUCACAAUCCCUCCGUCUCUGGGGCUUCAGGUUCCACCUCACACCUAACGUGUCUUUCUAUUAGCUAUUGCCAGCCUGCUUUACAGUGCAUGGCCAGCGUGCACAUGCAAACACACUCCUACACCUGCUCUGGAUCACUGGAACAUGACACUGUUUGACUCAGUGCUGUGGUGACAAAGGGCACAGGGAUUAAGUUCUGCAGGGCCUGUCAGUGUAGUGUUUGGUUGUUGUGGCUCCAGCCAGCACAUCACACCGUAGCAGCAGCAGCGUGCUGGCAUUUGAUGUGAUGGAGUCCAGUGUUAGAGGAAGUUAAAUCUUUUGCAUAAAACCUUUAAUCUAAAACAUACCUAGUAACUAUAGCUGUGAGAUAAAUGUAGUGGAGUAAAAAGUACAAUAUUUCCCUCUGACAGUAGUGGAAAGUAUUCAUGUACUGUAGUACAAUUUUUAGGGGCCUUUUUGCUACUUUAUGCCUCUGCUCCACUACAUCUCAGUGCUAAAUAUUGUACUUCACUACAUCUACUUGACAGCUGUAGCUUAAUUACUUUUCAGAUUAAGAUUUUACAUUUAAAACAAUUAUAAGCUUAUGAAAUAUAAGGCAUUGUUAUAGCAGUGGUUCCCAAAUCCCUUACAAUAAAGCACUUUGGGGUCUGUU